rnacentral:rRNA from 1 species
UACGUAGGGGGCAAGCGUUAUCCGGAAUUACUGGGUGUAAAGGGCGUGUAGGCGGAGCAACAAGUCAGAAGUGAAAUCUCUGGGCUUAACCCAGAAACUGCUUUUGAAACUGCUGCCCUUGAGUAUCGGAGAGGCAGGCGGAAUUCCUAGUGUAGCGGUGAAAUGCGUAGAUAUUAGGAAGAACACCAGUGGCGAAGGCGGCCUGCUGGACGACAACUGACGCUGAGGCGCGAAAGCGUGGGGAGCAAACAGG